UGUCCCUGUCCACAUCUCCUGCCAUCCCCUCCCCAGAGCCCCUCCUCCAUGCCCACCCCACCACCUGACCACACAUACUAAUUAAUAGCGAAGUCCUGCCCUCCACCAAGGAGAAGGUUUGGAAUCUCCUUGGGAACUUUGCUGUCUGAAACGUGUCUUCAGUAUUCCCCCACGCUCUGCCCCUCCGUGGGUCAAUUACACGGUGAGCAGUCAGACGGAGUUAAUUUCUGAUUUAAUACAAUGUUAAAAGGUUGUCAGGUUAAAAUCUAAUCUAUAAAUAAGGCACGAAACAUCUCUUUAAAAUGGGUGUCACAGAGCGGCCCUGGCUCCGACCACAGACUGCUGCUCCUUUUAUGGGGUGUAAUUACUUUCCGGUGAGGAUUUACAAUAUUAUUAUAGGGCCGUAAGAUGGGGCCGAUGCCAAACACAUCCCGGUGCCCGGACGGUGCCAACACACACAGCCCACGUGUGGGAGGGCACAGUGAGUGAGUGGGGGACCCCAAUGUGAGGGUGGAGGGACUGUUUUUAAGGUGAUAUUUGAAGGAUGGGAGACAGAUGGCAAGUGGGAAGGACAGACGGACCGAGGAAAGGGUUUCAGCAUGGAGGGGAAAUGCAGAGCGGCUCAGGGCAGCGCUGCUCUCUGGAGAUGUGAAUCAGAGCAAUGAUGGAUGGCUGUCCACGCGGCGUUGGGUCCCAGCGACUGAGAGCAGUGUGAGGACAGGUGCAGCACUGCGCGCUGUCACUGCUGCGGGCAGCGGUGAUUUGUUUGGGCUGCCUUUGUUUUCUCAGCGCUCUCCUGCAGACCCGGGGCAGUGCUGUUCUGCAGCCCUAAUGCUGAUGGAGAGCAAAAGAAAACAAACAAACACGAACGUGGUAUGAGAGCAGCGGUGCCGGCUCCCGGUUCAGCUCCAUCCCAGAUUACGUUCCCAAAUCUCGUUCGAAGCAUGAGGGCCCAAGGUGUGAGCCCAGGAGUGAUGAACUCAGGUGCUGCAACUCCUACCCCAAACAUUUUGGGGUUUGAAGGGUCCGUGCCCUGCAGAGGGGCCGGGGCCAGGGCCAGCUCGGCUGCUGGGGGUGUCGUGGUUCUCCUUUUGCCCACCGCUGCCCAUCCUCAGGUCUCAUCUGAUGGGCAGAGCUGCCCCUUUGCCCACAUCUCCCAGUUCCGUGGUUUUUUUUGGUUGCUAACAGCCCAUCCCGGGGGCUGUUCCCGCAGCGAUCCAGGUCAGACUGUUGGACAGCCUCAAAUCCUCACUUUUAAUCCCACAGGGGAAGGGGGUGGUGGCCAUAACAGCAUUAUUUUAUCAAAUAACGGUGCUCGCUAAUCUCUUUUAUUUAAGAGAUGAACCGACCACGAGGCGCAGCUCCUGCUCUCCCCUCCCGGGGUCGGUUUUGCUCCGGGAACCCCCGGCAAAAAACGGGGGCUCCGCUCUCCUACAGACACCGCGGGGCCUGGGAGGGAGGACGGGGAGCGGGGAGGGGGAGAGGUGGGGCAGCGGGGCCCCGACGGGGCGGGCGCUAUGGGGCUGCGGUCACGCGUGGCGGAGGGUCCGGGGGAUGGUCGCCCCCGGCCCCAUCCCAUUACGCCGAUGAGGCGGCGGUAAUACCAUUAGCCCGGGGAUUACACGCCCGCGCCGGGAUGUGACACACUUUCUCAAAUGGAAGUUUUUUAAACAGAGGGAUUUGCAUGAUCCUCCCCACCUCCCCCCGCCCCGCCCCG
ensembl:lncRNA